UAAUACAGAGGGGGCAAGCGUUGUCCGGACUUACUGGGCGUAAAGGGUGCGCAGGCGGUUUGGUGCGUCCGCGCUGAAAUCAUACGGCUUAACCGUGUGGCGCGUGUGGAUACGACCAAACUUGAGGCUCUGAGAGGGUGGCGGAACUCCUGGUGUAGUGGUGAAAUGCGUAGAGAUCAGGAAGAACACCCGUGGCGCAAGCGGCCACCUGGCAGAGACCUGACGCUGAGGCACGAAAGCGUGGGGAGUGAACCGGAUUAGAUACCCGGGUAAUCCACGCCGUAAACGAUGUCGACUCGGGGUGUGGUUGUCUUACGACGACUGCGUCCCCAAGCACACGCGGAAGUCGACCGCCUGGGGACUACGAGCGCAAGCUUA
rnacentral:rRNA from 1 species